AACGAACGCUGGCGGCAUGCCUAACACAUGCAAGUCGAACGAGACCUUCGGGUCUAGUGUCGCACGGGUGCGUAACGCGUGGGAACCUGCCCUUAGGUUCGGCAUAACUCCCCGAAUGGGGUGCUAAUACCGGAUCAUGUCUUCGGACCAAAGAUUUAUCGCCUUUGGAUGGGCCCGCGUUGGAUUAGCUAGUUGGUAGGGUAAAAGCCUACCAAGGCGACGAUCCAUAGCUGGUCUGAGAGGAAGAUCAGCCACACUGGGACUGAGACACGGCCCAGACUCUUACGGGAGGCAGGAGAGGGGAAUAUAGGACAAUGGGCGAAAGCAUGAUGCAGCAAGGCCGCGUGAGUGAUGAAGGCAGUAGGGUUGUAAAGCUCUUUUACCCGGGAUGAUAAUGACAGUACCGGGAGAAUAAGCUCCGGCUAACUCCGUG
rnacentral:rRNA from 1 species